rnacentral:rRNA from 1 species
AUUGAACGCUGGCGGCAGGCCUAACACAUGCAAGUCGAGCGGUAGCACAGAGAGCUUGCUCUCGGGUGACGAGCGGCGGACGGGUGAGUAAUGUCUGGGAAACUGCCUGAUGGAGGGGGAUAACUACUGGAAACGGUAGCUAAUACCGCAUAACGUCGCAAGACCAAAGUGGGGGACCUUCGGGCCUCAUGCCAUCAGAUGUGCCCAGAUGGGAUUAGCUGGUAGGUGGGGGAACGGCUCACCUAGGCGACGAUCCCUAGCUGGUCUGAGAGGAUGACCAGCCACACUAGAACUGAGACACAGUCCAGACUCCUACGGGAGGCAGCAGUGGGGAAUAUUGCACAAUGGGCGCAAGCCUGAUGCAGCCAUGCCGCGUGUGUGAAGAAGGCCUUCGGGUUGUAAAGCACUUUCAGCGGGGAGGAAGGCGAUGAGGUUAAUAACCUCAUCGAUUGACGUUACCCGCAGAAGAAGCACCGGCUAACUCCGUGCCAGCCGCCGCCGUAA